GCUUCUGGAUAGCUCAGCUGGUGAGAGCACGGUGCUGAUAACACCAAGGUGGCAGGUUCAAUCCCCUUAUGGGGCG